CCUUGAGAGUCCUGAAGGAACGUUGAAGACGACGACGUUGAUAGGCCGGGUGUGUAAGCGCAGCGAUGCCGUUGAGCUAACCGGUACUAAUGAACCGUGAGGCUUAACCUUACAACGCCGAAGCUGUU
rnacentral:rRNA from 1 species